rnacentral:rRNA from 1 species
UACGUAGGGGGCAAGCGUUGUCCGGAAUCAUUGGGCGUAAAGAGCGCGUAGGCGGCACUGUUAGUCAGGCGUGAAAGUCCUGGGCUCAACCUGGGAACUGCGCUUGAUACGGCAGAGCUAGAGGAUGGAAGAGGGUCGCGGAAUUCCCAGUGUAGAGGUGAAAUUCGUAGAUAUUGGGAAGAACACCGGUGGCGAAGGCGGCGACCUGGUCCAUUACUGACGCUGAGGCGCGACAGCGUGGGGAGCAAACAGG